GGAGUCGGCCAGACGGCCGCGGCACCGCGCACGCGGUGUCGAGGAAAGUCCGGACUCCACAGGGCAGGGUGGUCGGUAACACCGACCCGGGGUGACCCGCGGGAUAGUGCCACAGAAAACAGACCGCCGUCCCCGUGGGACGGUAAGGGUGAAACGGUGGUGUAAGAGACCACCAGCGGCCGGAGUGAUCCGGUCGGCUAGGUAAACCCCACCCGGAGCAAGGUCAAGAGGGAGACUUCGGUCUCCUGCACGGACGCUUGAGGGCGGCCCGUCCGAUGUCCGUGGGUAGACCGCAUGAGGCCGCUGGCAACAGCGGUCCUAGAUGGAUGGCCGUCACAACCCGUUCAGGGUUGACAGAAUCCGGCUUACCGGCCGACUCCCUGU
rnacentral:RNase_P_RNA from 17 species